rnacentral:lncRNA from 1 species
GUUUGAUAAAACACUUGUGUUUUAUGGAAUAAUGAAAUUAUUGAUCAUAAAUAAUAAUUGCUUUCUCAUUAUUAGCUAUUUGAAAUAAACCUGGAAGGGACCAGAACUGAAUCGGAAAUCCAAGUCUUUGUGUGGGGAUUGAUUGACGCACUCAGGACCAGAAUGCUGACAGCUUAAGCUCAAAUGCUCUCUGCUCUUUGUCAGACAGUUGGUGAACUAGAGCAACACUGUCCGGGAUCUUUGCACUUUUCUCAGGAUUUUGUGACCUUGUGCAAUUGAGAAUGAUCACCAGAGGCUUCUCGUACCGAAUAUGUUUGUUAGCAACAGCAGUUUGGAUGGAGGCCUGCAGAAGGUAGACAUUGUCUUGCUCUUCAAAAUCGUCAACGAGGAGCAGCACAGCACAGCACAUCUGAACUUCUUUCUUAGAUCCCAGAGAAUGUGCAUGGCCAAAGUAGUUCCUCCACAGCCUGGAUGAUGGUACAGAGCAAGUGUAUGCCAUUGACUGAGAACCAUUUGCAUUAUUUGGUCCCAUUGCACAGACCUAAAAUAUGAACACAGAAAGAGAGGUUGGUUUCGACAUUUCAGAUAAGGUAAGAUUGGGUGCACUCAGGGUGGUAUUGUUAUAGACAGGUUUCAACAUUUUAAUCUAAUUAGCAAAGGGAUGUUUUUAGAUGACCAUAAAUUGUGCAUGUAUGAUAAAAUAUCUAAAGAAAUAAUUUUAAAAGCUAUAAAAAGUAAUACACCAAAAUAUGCAUAUAAAUG